AUGGAUCUGAGAACGCUGUCUGGGCUUGGUACCAAGAGCUGGUAUUUCACAGCAGCGACCGCCUCACAGACGAGCUGUGGGAAGCAGGAGGGAGACUCUCUCUUAGGGUGCCACUACUAUGGAGACACAGCUGGGCUGAACAAGAUUUGCUUCAAACGACAACAAGAGAGACAGAAAGUAUCUGGUUCAACCGCUGCCCGAGCAGGCAGGCACCAGAAGAGCUAGCAGCCAAUCCGGCCAUGCUCGAAGCCAGCUCUGCAGCUCAGCCAAUCAGUGACAUCAUUGCUUUCUUUAGCUUGCCCAUGGUGAUGUGAAGAUGAGAAGAAAUAGCAAGGCCCAACCAGUUCUUCAUCUGGAGACAGUUCAACGUUCUGCAAACCAGAUCUUCAGGAAUUUUACUGGGAUAAUUAUCCAAAUAAAUUGCAAGCAUUCUAUCCAAAUGGAGCUCUUUCUGAGAUGAAGAGAAUUCUCAAUGUCAAGAUUUGAACAAGAAGAGAAUGGAAUACACAAUAUGGACAUCCAUAAAAAUUCAUCAGAGAGCAUUUUACUACUGAGCUGCAAAGGGAAAAACUUAAAAUGGAUAUGAAAAGUGAAGAAAGUGAUCAUAGGAGAAAACCAUUUCAGAUGACAAGAGCACCUCAAAGGCAGCAGCCUCAAGGAGCAGCCAUGGCCCCAGACUUGUCGCACGGAUGCAGAAAACUUAAUGGAGGAGGCUGAGGUCAGAAUGGGAAGAGUUUUUAAAAAAUAAAAAGGGGAGCUAAUAUGUGAGGAACUGAUUGCUGUGCAUUAUUUUCCACUGAACAGACCUUCUUUUAACUUCUAAUCUCAAGCACAUAGCAGCUGUUGUUUUCAUAUUAAAGAUCAGUAAGUGUUUGUUGAAUGAAUGUAUAAAUUCUUCCCCAAUCUCUGUUCCAUGUAAUAAGAACUAAGUUAGCAUUCAAUUAUAAAGAGGACUUAGAAAGUCUGCAGACAUUUUUGAUCAAAAAUCCUUUUAACUGUCUUCUUAUGGUUCCCGGUAACACCUAAGCCCAAAAAACUCAGGUCAUUUCUUGCCUGUACUGUUGCAAUAGCCUCAUAAUAACUAGUCUUCUCCUUUAUCAACCACAGUCGUCUCCGCUACACAAAGAAGAGAGGGUGCUAAUCUAAAGUGUAAAUUAUUUUAAAUCAGCACCCUUCUUGUAAUUUCCCAGUGGUUUUUCCUGUCAUAAGAAUAACAUGCAAAAUUCCUUGCUUGCAAAGCCAGGUAUGACCUUGCCCCGUCUACCUUACUGGCAUCGUCUCUCAUGACUCUUCCCCUUUUUCACUCUCCAUCUUGCCUUUUCCCAACCAUGCCUGCUAGUGAGCCUUAGCCCUUGUGUUUUCUCUGCCAGGGAUGCAUGACUGGCUUCUUUACUUUAUUCUGAUCUCUCUGCUCAAAUGUCAUCUUUUUAGAGAUAGCUUUCCUAAACAUCUUUAAAAGUACCCCAUGAACUGUGAAACACCUUUCCUGCUUUUUCUUCAUAGUACUUAUCACUUCCUGAUAUUAUGUUAGACAACAAGCAAAUAAGUAUAUGCUGUUCCCACUAAAAUAUAAGCUCCAUUUGAACAGGAGCCUUGAUUAUUCCUGAGUAUACCCCUAGUGCCCAGAACCUAGUAGGGCUUUAAUAAAUAUUAGAUUCAUUUGUUGAAUGAAAAAAUGAAUGAAUAAUUGAAUAAAGAUAUCCAGGUAGAGUGUCCGGGCAGCCCAACCUAUGUGAAGCCAGUACAAGAAUGUUUCUGUGACAUAGUGAGCGCAAUUAUUCCUCUAAAUGAUGAACUUGCAUGAGUACACAAGGAUAAAAUUAAGCACGUAGUUUAGAUUUCUGCAAGUCUCUUCCUCAGAUUGAGGAAAAACAAAGAAAUUGAGCUUAUUCUCACCUCAUUCUUACAUGAACUAAAUCCAGAAUAAAGCAUCAUUUAAAUACCAAGCACAUCCCUACCUCAGCCACUCAUGGAAUACUUUAUCUGUAAAGGGACAGAUAGAUAGUAAAUAUUUUUGGCUUUGGGGACCGUACAGUCUGUGUCGCCACUACUCAGCACUUCUGUUGAGGUGUGGAAUCAGCCCUAGACAACACAUAAACAAAUGGGUGUGGCUGUGUUCCAAUAAAAUGUUAUUUAUAAAACUAGGAAAUCAGCAGAUUUAGUCCACAGGCUGUAGUUUGCUGACCCUUGAAUUAGAGAGUCUUCCCCAAAUCCUCUUCCCAAGUUAUUGAAAGAAUGCCCAUAGGACCAUAGCUCCCUCACCUGGUUCUUUCAAGAAAUGAGACAAAUUCAGGGAUGGUUGGAGGGUGGAACGCCUACCUGUGACAUGACUAUUGAGCCUGAUUUCUUUCCUUUUAUCUCUUUAAAGUGAGUCAGGUCUUAACUUUAAACUGUCUCUAAAGUGGCAAUAACUGGGCCAUGUCAAAUACUCCCAAUGACAAAAUUUCUUCUUGGAGAAUGAAUGAGGGUUGCAUACAGUGGUGUGUUGGUAAAUGUUUAGCAACUGGCUCUCUUACUGAUUUCUGUAGUGUAAAUUCUCCCAUCCUGGCCAUCUGAAACUACCAAUAUGAUGUCACUUGAUGUAGAGUUGGGAAAAGACAGUCUCUUGAAUAAGUAUGAGCUGGUUCCAGCCCACUGCUGAACACAUAUUUAAAAGCUACAAUAGCUCUGCUCACUGCCAUUGCAGAGUCUGGAGGAAAGAGUAGCAGGCUUGAUAGGAGCAAUUGGCUGAAUAAUCUUUUGCAAUGCCAAUAAAUAAUGAAAAAGUAUAUAAAUAUAACGCUGUAUAGAAAGCUCUCAAGUUCAGUGUUUGGUUAAAAUACAUACUCAGUAAAUGGUAGCUAUUAUUGUCUUAGUUUAAGUUAUUGCAAGCAUUAAAAUUAAAUGUUUAGCUACAGACUCAAUCCAGUUUUAAUGUCAUUGUGUUAAUAAGGCCUCUUAACAUUGAAGCAACAAAGAUAAAGGAAUUUUUUUGUAGCUAUUCACGAUUCUGCCCAGCUCAAGGUAAAGAUAGCAACAAAAUACUCCAACCAGAAUAAAAGAAGUCUCCACUUGACUGCAGCUCUUCGCAACACUUCACAAGGGUCAAGCUGUGUUAGUUUCCUUCAGUGUUAAACAGAAUGCAUCUUAAGAGAAUAGUUCAAUUAUUGAUUGAAUAGUAGGUUCAAGUUGACUAUAAUCCCAACUAAUACACUCUAAGACCAGGGAUGGGCCGACAGAAGGGUAAAGUUUUCCACUCAAGUCUCGAGGCAAACACUCAGAUAGAAGUAGUAAUAUGGAUGCCUUCUAUUAUUUGGUCACAUACAAUACUGUUCCAGCCCAGUUGUGCAAAACUGGUGAAAUAAAAGGCAAAAAUAUUGACAACAGUUUGGGUAACUGGAUUCCAAAAUGGGCAUCCAUCUAAGAG
rnacentral:lncRNA from 10 species